rnacentral:rRNA from 1 species
GACGAACGCUGGCGGCGUGCUUAACACAUGCAAGUCGAACGGAAAGGCCCUGCUUUUGUGGGGUGCUCGAGUGGCGAACGGGUGUGUAACACGUGAGUAACCUGCCCUUGACUUUGGGAUAUCUUCAGGAAACUGGGGCUAAUACCGGAUAUGAGCUCCUGCUGCAUGGUGGGGGUUGGAAAGUUUCGGCGGUUGGGGAUGGACUCGCGGCUUAUCAGCUUGUUGGUGGGGUAGUGGCUUACCAAGGCUUUGACGGGUAGCCGGCCUGAGAGGGUGACCGGCGACAUUGGGACUGAGAUACGGCGCAGACGGCUACGGGAGGCAGCAGUGGGGAAUAUUGCACAAUGGGCGGGAGCCUGAGGCAGCGACGCCGCGUGCGGGAUGACGGGCUUCGAGUUGUAAACAGCUGUCGCAUGUGACGAAGCGUGAGUGACGGUAAUGGAUAAGAAAGCACCGGCUAACUACGUG